AGGAAUCUUGCGCAAUGGGCGAAAGCCUGACGCAGCGACGCCGCGUGAGGGAUGAAGGCCUUCGGGUUGUAAACCUCUGUCAGGGGGGAAGAAUCCGGAGUCGGUGAAUACCCGACUCCACUGACGGUACCCCCAGAGGAAGCACCGGCUAACUCCGUGCCAGCAGCCGCGGUAAGACGGAGGGUGCAAACGUUGUUCGGAAUCACUGGGCGUAAAGGGCGCGUAGGCGGACUUGUAAGUCGGGAGUGAAAACUCGGGGCUCAACCCCGAGCCUGCUUCUGAAACUGCGAGUCUUGAGGACCGGAGAGGAAAGUGGAAUUCCUAGUGUAGCGGUGGAAUGCGUAGAUAUUAGGAAGAACACCAGUGGCGAAGGCGACUUUCUGGACGGUUCCUGACGCUGAGGCGCGAAAGCUAGGGGAGCAAAC
rnacentral:rRNA from 1 species